CGCAGGGCUUCAGUGUUCUCCCGCACCGGCCGGCACAUCAGUCUGAAUUACUGCAACAGUGAUUCAACCAAGAAUUUCCGAGCUCUUAAACAACAUUCAGAGACCGUUGACGUUUCCCAUCGUACAGUAAGAAAGAAUUUAAUGAACUCUCGUACACCGGUCACUCAGGUUUUCGCUCAGUCCCCUGCGCCGUCCAUCCCAGGCUGGUGAGAGAACCCGAGCUCUGAGUUGCUGCAGUUCGGCUCACACCAUGACGUGUUGUACAAGGCUGAAGAAGUGCUCAGACUGCACUUAGCUGUCUAUCAGUGAUCUACCCAAAGGCCAUUUCUAAUCAAGUCCAGACACAGGCAUACCUUGUGUUAAUGGCAUCAGAAGACACUUCAAUAUCCUAGAUGGGAGCUGAUAAAUGUACAUAUAGGCAAAGGGAAGCCCAUAAUGGGCACAGCACCACUGCUUAUAGAGCCAAGCUUGGCUUUCUCAUUCCAUCCAGUUUCAAAUUCUAGGCUCAGCUGCAGAAGAAGAUGUGAGCUGGCUCUUUGUCUGUGGUAAAGACAGGCCUUGAGGAUAGAUGUGCCUACAGCUAUCCAAAGACGCCUUUUCUCCUUAAAAAAGACUGGUUUUUUUUUCAUCUAGCUGCCA